CGUGCUCGUGCUCGAAGAGUUGGAGCACGCCAAGGCGCGCGGCGCGCGGAUUUACGGCGAGGUCGCGGGCUACGGUGCCACCUCGGACGGGCACGAC
rnacentral:tRNA from 1 species